UAUUAAUUUGCUGCUAUGACUUAGCGGCGUUAAUUUGAAAACGCCUAUAAUUAAAUGAUAAAAGAUUCAUUGGCGGCGUUAGUUGUAACUAUAACGCCUCGAAUCAAUGCUAAUAAUUAGUUAGCGGCGUCAUUUUGUUUAACGCCGCAGUGUUAUGUCCUCGACAAAAUAUCACCCACGCUUAAUUCUUUCUUUGGGUUCUCGUCGGUAGACAAAAGCUCCUCCUUCUUCCUUCAAACUAGGUCCGACUCUGACCUCCAUUUUCUUCACCAUCAAAUCUCGCCGGGUUCACCAUCAAAUCUCGCCGGGAAAAGUGAAGCUUAAGAUUCAUAUCCACCGUCAUUAGCCUUCGAACUCAUCUCCACCACCGCCGUUCUUACUUAAGUUUAGGUGCUUCCAAGAAAGAGGAGCGCAAAUUUGAGAAAAACACGAGUUUUGUUUUCCAAAAUCAUGGAGGCUGUUGCAACCUCAAGUGCUAAGAAUAUAAUUCACAAGAAUCAGGGAGACCAUUGCAACCUUAAAUGCUAAGAAGACAACUCAGAAGAAGAGAAAGAGUGCAAUAAGACGAAAAAAGAAAGUGAAGGGAUAUGACCUAUCCCACCCAAAUGAGUUCUUGCCUGAGCUGAAAGAAGAAGAACAACUUGCUCUUCCACCUAACGAAGUGAACUGCAAAUCCAGACAAAACCUAUUGAACUUGGGAUUUUGGUCAUGAUGGUUCUGCUAAUGGUUUAAAUCGGAGAAGUGGAGACCGUUUGGAUAGUUCCAUGCCACGAAACUUUCGACCUAUCCUACUUCCAAAGACCAUCAAGAAGCAAGAGGAGACUAUCUGCAGGGGGCAUAAAAAUUUCGAGUUGAUGCUCAACUUGCAGCUAGGAAUAAGGUAGUUUAUUACAGAA